AAAUUACUCCCUCCGAUCCAUGUUAAUUGUCGAAAUAUUAGAUGUAUCUAUACGCUUUUUAGGCAUAGAUACAUCCAUAUUUGGGCAAAUUUGAGACAAUUGAUAUGGAUCGGAGGGAGUAAUAA
rfam:Brachypodium distachyon strain Bd21 chromosome 1, whole genome shotgun sequence.